rnacentral:rRNA from 1 species
AGCAUAUCAAUAAGCGGAGGAAAAGAAACUAACAAGGAUUCCCCUAGUAACGGCGAGUGAAGCGGGAACAGCUCAAAUUUGAAAUCUCGCAGGGUCACNUGCGCGAAUUGUAGUUUAGAGAAGCGUUUUCGGGGGCGACUUGGGUAUAAGUCCUCUGGAACGGGGCAUCAUAGAGGGUGAGAAUCCCGUUUAUGAUCCAAUGUUCGCUCCUAUGUGGUACGCUUUCCAAGAGUCAGGUAGUUUGGGAUUGCUGCCUAAAAUGGGUGGUAAAUACCAUCUAAAGCUAAAUAUUGGCGAGAGACCGAUAGCGAACAAGUACCGCGAGGGAAAGAUGAAAAGAACUUUGAAAAGAGAGUUAAACAGUACGUGAAAUUGCCAAAAGGGAAACGCUUGGAACCAGUAUUGCCUGCAGGUAAUCAGCCGCACGUCCCGAAAGGGGUGCGUGUGGUGCACUUGCUUGCAGGCAGGUCAACAUCAGUUCGAUCUGAGGUAAAAAACCCGAGGAAGGUAGCUUGGGCUUCGGUCUGAGUGUUAUAGCCUCGGGUCAUGCCUUGGACUGGACUGAGGUCUGCAGCGUCAUUUGGGUUCCCGGUCGCCUCUUGAAGCCAGUGUCUAGACAGCGUGCUGACUAGGCGCCGGCCUAGAGAGCCCGGUCGGUUUUCCACACCAACGCUUAGGAUGUUGACGAAAUGGUUCCAAACGACCCGUCU